AGAGUUUGAUCCUGGCUCAGGACGAACGCUGGCGGCGUGCCUAACACAUGCAAGUCGAACGGAACUAUUUGGACUGAUGCCUUCGGGAUGAAUAAUAUCUAAUGGAUUGGUGGACGGUUGACUAACUGCGUGACUAAACUUGCCUCUGCACAGGGGAAUAACGUGCUAGAAACGAACUGCUAAUAUCCGUAUAACACAUAUUAGCCGACCUGACAGCAUAUGUCAACAGAUCUCAGUCGCGUCGGAGAUGGACUCUGCGUCCGCAUUAUUUAUGUUGGUAGAGGUACACGGCUCAGCAAGACCGCGAUCGGUAUCCGGACUGAGAGGUUGAACGGCCACAUUGGGACCGAGACACGGCCCAUACUCCUACGGGAGGCAGCAAUGGGGGAUAUUGCGCAAUGGGGGCAACCCUGACGCACCAACUCCGUGUGAAGGAUGAACGUAUCCGGAUUGUCUACUUCUAUGAUCAAGGACGAACUCUGACGGUACCUGAUGAAUAGACUCCGGCUAGCUACGUGCCAGCAGCCGCGGUAAUACCUACGGAGCAAGCGUUGUCCGGAUGUACUGGGUGUAAAGGGUGCGUAGGCGGCUUUUGAAGUCAGAUGUGAAAUCUAUGGGCUCAACCCAUAAACUGCAUUCGAAACUAGAGAGCUUGAGUGAAGUAGAGGCAGGCGGAAUGCCCUGUGUACCGGUGAAAUGCGUAGAGAUAGGGAGGCACACCAGUGGCGAAGGCCGCCUGCUGUGCUUAACUGACGGUGAGGCACGAAAGCGUGGGUAGCAAACAGGAUUAGAUACUAUGGUAGUCCACGCUGUAAACGAUGAUUAGUAGGUGUGGGGGGACUGACCCCUUCCGUGCCGGAAUUAACACAAUAAGUAAUCCAGGUGGGGAGUACGGCCGCAAGGUUGAUACUCAAAGGAAUUGACGGGGGCCCGCACAAGCAGUGGAGUAUGUGGUUUAAUUCGAAGCAACGAGAAGAACCUUAGCAGGUAUUGACAUCCAAAUUACGAGAUAGAGAUAUGUCAGGUGCCAUUCGGGGAAAGAUGAGACAGAUGGUGCAUGGUAGUUGUCAGCUCGAGUCGUGAGAUGUUGGGUUAAGUCCCGCAACGAGCGCAACCCUUGCUAUUAGUUGGUACGCAAGAGCACUCUCAUAGGACUGCCGUUGACAAAACGGAGGAAGGUGGGGACGACGUCAAAUCAUCAUGCCCCUUAUGACCUGGGCUACACACGUACUACAAUGGCAAUCAAAAGGGGGAAGCAAAACAGGGAUGUGGAGCAAACCCAUAAAAAUGGUCUCAGUUCAGAUUGCAGGCUGCAACUCGCCUGCAUGAAGUCGGAAUUGCUAGUAAUCGCGGAUCAGCAUACCGCGGUGAAUACGUUCCCGGGCCUUGUACACACCGCCCGUC
rnacentral:rRNA from 1 species